rnacentral:sRNA from 1 species
GCUGGGCAUAGUGGCGCAGGCCGGUAAUCCCAGCAGCUCUGGAGGCUGGGGCAGGAGGAUCACAAGUUCACGGUCAGCCUCAGAAAUUUAGCAAGGCCAUAAGCAACUCAGUGAGAUUCUGUCUCUA